GACGUAGGGCGCAAGCGUUGUCCGGAUUUAUUGGGCGUAAAGAGCUCGUAGGCGGCCUGUCGCGUCGACUGUGAAAACCCGCAGCUUAACUGCGGGACUGCAGUCGAUACGGGCAGGCUAGAGUUCGGUAGGGGAGACUGGAAUUCCUGGUGUAGCGGUGAAAUGCGCAGAUAUCAGGAGGAACACCGGUGGCGAAGGCGGCAUCCUGGACCGACAUUGACGCUGAUGAGCGAAAGCUAGGGGAGCAAACGGG
rnacentral:rRNA from 1 species